rnacentral:tRNA from 3 species
AAGAUUUUAAGUUAAUAAAACUAGUAACCUUCAAAGUUAAAAAUACUGAAGGGGUAAAUCUUA